ensembl:lncRNA
GGGGACGGCCCAGACGCACAUCAUCCACGGCCCCUCGGGACUGGAGGGACUCGUGAGCCGGAGCCCAGAAAUCCGGGGGUGGAUAAGACACCGCGUCCCCUCCAAUUCCCCUGCCACCUCCCUGUCCACGGAGGAUCCCCUUCCAGCUUGUCCACCCAGGCAGGCCAUCUGGAGAAGCUCAGAGAUCCUGUCCCCCCUUUCUCUAAGGGACUCUUUCUGGUGACCACAAAAGGAUCUGGUCACUUAGGACAAAGCUGCCAGAGGGCCUGGGGGCAGACUUGCGCUAUCAGCAGGAUCCUGGAAGUUUGGAACUCCCUCCAGAUAGGGCCUGGGAAGAGCCCUCCCAUCCUCCAAAACUUGCCAUUCCGGUGUCCCUGUGCCUUCUCUCCCAUCUUCUCCUAGAUCCCUCCCCUGGCCCCCACCUUUUUCUGCCCCCUGCCCCAUUCAGCUUUGGCCACCUCCCAAUUCCUAGAUUAAAAGUUCUCCAGGGGAAAGGCUGAGACCCACUUCCAUCCAUAUCAAAAGGGCUUAAAGGCACGUCUGGUUAGGGCGUGGCGAGGCGGUGGGGUAGCUCCAGGUGGUAGAGGCCCUCCCUCUGACCUAUGCCCUGUUCCCGGGAGGUCUCAGUCGUCUGUCUCGGGGCCCACAGCUUCUCCCUGAGGGUCUGGGAUGGUCUGGGGAGAGUGUCACCUUGACAAAGUCAGGGGUUUCCAGUGUCAUCCCCUGUCACCACCAGAGGGCAGCAACCAGCCAGGACUUUGCUCCUUUCCUGGUCUAGUCUCCUGGUUCUUAACAUCUUUCCCGAUGUGUCCCAGCUGCUUCUAGUUUCCCAUUCAACCCCAGAGGUGAGGGGGAGGGAUGGGGCCUGGGGAGGCACUGGGCGCUGCAGGCGGUGUCGUCUGUAGCUGAGUGGUGAAGCCCCCCCGAAGCCAACCCCUGUCCCCAAAGCCAAACAGCAGAGCCCCGCAGAGAUUUCACACUGACUGCCGGGCCGACUGCCAGCCUCUGACAGCACCAGGGAGGCCAGUCCCAGAUCAUCUGUGAUGCUCAGGGGUCCCGGCCCCCAGCUGUGGCACAACGAGCCCUGUCAUCUGCCCCUUCCCUUUUAAGCAUACAAGGCUGUGGCCCGGUGUGCAUGAGCCAGGCUCCCUGGGGACACAGCAUAGCCUCCUGCAAGUUAACCUCUCUGGGUCCUUCUCAUUUCCUGAAUUCAUGGGACUGCGAUGAGCCGCGGGAGAACACCAGUGCUGGGGAUGUGUAAACCAUGGCACAAGAAAGGGGCCGGGAUCAUACUGGAGGAAAAAAAAACACCGGUCUCAGACCCUAAGCUCUGGUUUUGAGAUCUGGCUUUCCCACUUAACCAGACUCCUUGUGGUUGUCAGGAGCUCUGGACGACGGCUGG